rnacentral:rRNA from 1 species
CAGUGGGGAAUCUUGCGCAAUGGGCGAAAGCCUGACGCAGCGACGCCGCGUGAGUGAUGAAGGCCUUCGGGUCGUAAAGCUCUGUGGGGAGGGACGAACCGCCAACGGUUAAUACCCGGUGGCAUGACGGUACCUCCUUAGCAAGCACCGGCUAACUUCGUGCCAGCAGCCGCGGUAAGACGAAGGAUGCAAGCGUUAUCCGGAUUUAUUGGGUUUAAAGGGAGCGUAGGUGGCCUUAUAAGUCAGUGGUGAAAGCCUGUUGCUUAACAACAGAAUUGCCAUUGAUACUGUAGGGCUUGAGUAUAGUUGCUGUGGGCGGAAUAUGACAUGUAGUGGUGAAAUACUUAGAGAUGUCAUAGAACACCGAUUGCGAAGGCAGCUCACAAAACUAUAACUGACACUGAGGCUCGAAAGUGCGGGGAUCAAACA